rnacentral:rRNA from 1 species
CCCUUAGAUGUCCGGGGCCGCACGCGCGCUACAAUGGAUGAAUCAACGCGUCAUCCUGGCCCGAAAGGGUUGGGGAACCGCUGAACCUCAUCCGUGGUUGGGAUUGGGGUUUGUAAUUAUUCCCCAUGAACUAGGAAUUCCCAGUAAGCGCGAGUCAUAAGCUCGCGUUGAUUACGUCCCUGCCCUUUGUACACACCGCCCGUCGCUACUACCGAUUGGAUGGUUUAGUGAGAUCCUCGGAUCGGUCCCGACUCGGGGUGGGCUUCUGCCCCGGUCGUGGUUUCGCCGAGAAGACGGUCAAACUUGACUAUCUAGAGGAAGUAAAAGUCGUAACA